rnacentral:rRNA from 1 species
GACGAACGCUGGCGGCGUGCUUAACACAUGCAAGUCGAACGGAAAGGCCCUGCUUUUGUGGGGUGCUCGAGUGGCGAACGGGUGAGUAACACGUGAGUAACCUGCCCUUUACUUUGGGAUAACUUCAGGAAACUGGGGCUAAUACCGGAUAGGAGCUCCUGCUGCAUGGUGGGGGUUGGAAAGUUUCGGCGGUUGGUGAUGGACUCGCGGCUUAUCAGCUUGUUGGUGGGGUAGUGGCUUACCAAGGCUUUGACGGGUAGCCGGCCUGAGAGGGUGACCGCCCUCAUUGGGACUGAGAUACGGCCCAGACUCCUACGGGAGGCAGCAGUGGGGAAUAUUGCACAAUGGGCGGAAGCCUGAUGCAGGAACGCCGCGUGCGGGAUGACGGCCUUCGGGUUGUAAACCGCUUUCGCCUGUGACGAAGCGUGAGUGACGGUAAUGGGUAAAGAAGCACCGGCUAACUACGUG